rnacentral:snRNA from 10 species
AAAUGUGAGGGUGAUCUGGCUGUGACAUGUUACCUCAUUGAUCGCCAGGGUUGAUUCUGCUCAUCUGGCUGGAUAGUUGAGUGUCCUCUUUCUCCCUCAUCACUCCAUGUGCAUCCCUCCCAAAGCUGUACACUCUGCUAACAAGGCUGAUCUUUCUGAGAGAGGAAGACUGUUCAUCAAUCAAGGGUACAAGAGUGUGUACGCUCUUCUGCUACAACCUCCAGAAAAGGUCUAAAGGCUGAUUUGUAGAAGAAUGUAGGUUCAUCAAGCUUUCAAGACUCCAGACACAUCCAAAUGAGGUGCUACAUGUGGCACUAUGUUUUCCUUU